GUCCAUUUGGUGAUAUAAAUGGUCUGGCCUGCUCACUGAUAAAUAUAUUUAAGAGCCGCGGUAUUUUGACCGUGCAAAGGUAGCAUAAUCAUUAGGGGUUUAAUUGGAACCUGGUAUGAAGGGUUGGACAAAGGAAAAGCUGUCUCUGUAUUGAGAAUUGAAGUUUACUUUUAAGUGAAAAGGCUUAAAUAAAUCAAAGGGACGAUAAGACCCUAUAAAGCUUUAUAAAUUAUUUAAGUUUAGUUGAUUUAAGCUCUAAAAACUAAGUUUAUAUUAUUUUAUUUUAUUGGGGCGAUAUGAGUAUAAUUAUUGUUAACUGCUUAAAAUAAAUACAAGUCUAGGUGAAUAUAGUGUUAAAUGAUCCUUUUUAAAGAUUAGAAGACUAAGUUACUUUAGGGAUAACAGCGUUAUUUCUUUUGAGAGUUCAUAUCGAAAAAGAAGAUUGCGACCUCGAUGUUGAAUUAAAAUAUCUAUAUAAUGCAGCCGUUAUAAAAGAGGGUCUGUUCGACCUUUAAAGGUUUU
rnacentral:rRNA from 1 species